rnacentral:lncRNA from 1 species
GUCCUGAAGCCCGUCUUCCCCUGCCCAGGCCAGCAGCCCAAUUGCCCAGUGCGGUGAGCCCCACCACCCCUCUCCUUUUUUCUGGAAGUUUCACAACCAUGUUCAAAUAUAAACACCAUUGUGUGAGAGCCCAGCAGCCCCUCGGGAGUCCCCUGUGGUGUGAUGGAUGAGCUGGGGACAGAGCCCACAUCAGUCAGCUCUUGCCUGGCCCCAGAGCAGGCCGUCAGCCCCGCCUGACUUGCAUCAUUUGUCUCCAAGUACCAGGGGAUUUUCGGCAGCUGUGGAGCCAAGCAUUUCAACAGGGAACAUAGUUCUGGUCUGCGGGAAAUGGAGACAUCUGCAAGUCUCCAGUGCCUGCAGUUAUGAGGUCCAAAGAGAACGGAUCAGAGAAGGAAACACAGCUACUCCGGCCUCUCCGCCUGCUCACAAGAGGGAGACACCCCAUCAGCAGAGGCGAGAGGGAAUGGCUCCUUUCCUUGUUGGCAGUGGGCUUGGAAAUAGCCACACUGGCUUCCCCCAGGCCACCUGAUACACCUCCGGCGCCUCAGGGCAGAAGUCUCAGAAACCAGGCAUGGUUUCUGACUGCCCACUUCAACUCUGGUUGGCACGAAAAAAAGAAGGGCUGUGCAGGAAUUGUCUCUGUGCCACAGUAGAAACCGAAGUAGAUUCUCAGUGCAAACUCACGUGAUUGAAUGGCUGUCGUCUCCAGAACAGACUGGAGCUGUCCUGUCUUAGAGGUGCUUCCGUUGGUGGCCUUGAACUUGGUUUGCAGACAGAAACUGCACUGGUACACCACAGGAGAUGGGGCAACUGAGGAUGGGGGUCGACGGGAGAUUGGCAGGAGCUGGGGCAGGAUUUUUUUCCUGACCCCAGCUGGUGAUCAGCUUAUACCCUAAAGCAGAAGGAUUAAUAACCAGGGUAAUUUUAUCCCUGUUAGAAUGUAACUACAGAUGUGGGCUUACUGGCUGAAACAGCUAAUCCUUUCUACAUUUGGCUCACUCAUGAAAUACGAUGCCUGAGGUUGUCUAAAGCACUGUUUGCACACGGGCCUGCGCUGGGCGCGGCCUCUCUCUCUCUCUCUCUCUCGGCUGAGUGGGCAGCUGUGGGGUGGGGUGGGGAGGCAUCUGUGCUCUGGCCUCUUGGGCAAGCUGCCUUUUCACUGGGCCGGUGAUGGAGGCGAAGGCCUGAGGCCUGUGUGUCUGUGGACUUGAAGGGUGCAGUUGAAGGAAAAUGCCAGGUGUUGGAGUGGGUGGGUGCACAGAGAGUCUGGAGAGGAGAGAAAAAAAAAAAAAAACUCUUGGAAAAAAAUCUAAGGUUCAUUUCGACCUGAAGUUCCUGAGACUCGAGGGAUGGGGAGGCAGCAGGAGGGGGAGGGAAGGGGGAGCCCCAGGUCGAGCCAGCAGGCACCCAGGGAUUUACAGCGAGGCGAUGGUUGGAGGCUGCAAAGCGAGGAGAGACGAUUAUUAAUAAUCAAAGAGCUACUGCUGCUGGAGCAGAGAUGAAAGGCUUUCCAGGCCAGUCGGUGAUGC